UCAAUACAGAUGGAGAAUUUUGCUCUAAAUACAGUCUGAACCUCUGCAACAGUAGCUGUGUUUUCAUUACAAAUUCAAAAGUACUUUAUUAAUCCCAAAUUAAAUGUUGUUGUAAC